GGGGCUGGAAUGUAGCUCAGUGGUAGAACACUUGCCUAGCAUGUACAAGGUCCUGAGUUUGAGCUGAGUCCGGGAAGAAAGAAUUUGA
rnacentral:miRNA from 1 species